rnacentral:tRNA from 1 species
GGAAGGGUGGCUCAGUGGUAGAGCAUCACCGUUGAGGGCACUUGCCCGUCGCGGUGGAUUAUUGGCUUCGCGUGGUUCGACUCCCGCCCCUUCCG